AAUGAUGCCCUUUCCCGAGUUAUGUGUUGGUUUACUUAUAAUAACUUGUUACUAAAUUCUAAUAAAACAAAAUGUAUUAGAUUUUCUUUGCCUAACGUAAAACAGGGAUCACUCUAGAUUCUCGUUUGCAAUGGAAGCCCCAUAUUACAAAUCUAUCGGCAAGACUUAGUUCGGCUGCUUUUGCGAUAAGAAAGAUUAGAUGGAUGUCUGAUGUCGAAACGGCGAGGCUUGUAUACUUCAGUUACUUCCAUAGUGUUAUGACAUAUGGUAUAUUGUUGUGGGGCUCAGCGGCCGAUAUUCAAGAUAUUU